UACGUAGGUGGCAAGCGUUGUCCGGAGUUAUUGGGCGUAAAGCGCGCGCAGGCGGUUCGGUAAGUCUCUGGUGAAAGCGCUCGGCUUAACUGGGCGAGGGCCGUGGAGACUGCCGGACUGGAGGGGAGCAGAGGCGAGUGGAAUUCCGGGUGUAGUGGUGAAAUGCGUAGAGAUCCGGAGGAACACCAGUGGCGAAGGCGGCUCGCUGGGCUCAACCUGACGCUGAGGCGCGAAAGCGUGGGGAGCGAACCGG
rnacentral:rRNA from 1 species